GGAUAUAGCUCAGUUGUUAGAGUGCCUGCCUUGCAUGCCCAAGGCCCUGGAUUCAAUCCCCAAUACCA
rnacentral:tRNA from 1 species